rnacentral:lncRNA from 1 species
GCAACUCCCGUUUACCGGAGGAACACUUUGGGUGCUACCAAACGUCACAACGUAACUAGGUGAUUAUAAAGGAGUACUACAGGUGUCUCCAAAGGUAAAUGUUGGGUUGGCGUAUUUCGAGAUUAGGUUUUGUCACUCCGAUUGUCGGAGUGGUAUCUCUGGGCCCUCUCGGUAAUGCACAUCACUUAAGCCUUGCAAGCAUUGCAACUAAUGAGUUAGUUGUGAGAUGAUAUAUUACGGAACAGGUAAAGAGACUUGCCGGUAAUGAGAUUGAACUAGGUAUUAGAUGCCGACGAUCGAAUCUCGGGCAAGUAACAUACCGAUGACAAAGGGAACAACGUAUGUUGUUAUGCGGUUUGACCGAUAAAGAUCUUCGUAGAAUAUGUAGGAGCCAAUAUGAGCAUCCAGGUUCCGCUAUUGGUUAUUGACCAAGAAUAGUUCUAGGUCAUGUCUACAUUGUUCUCGAACCCGUAGGGUCCGCACGCUUAAGGUUUCGUUGACAGUUAUAUUAUGAGUUUAUGAGUUUUGAUGUACCGAAGGAGUUCAGAGUCCCGGAUGAGAUCAGAGACAUGACGAGGAGUCUCGAAAUGGUCGAGACGUAAAGAUCGAUAUAUUGGACGACUAUAUUCGGACUUCGGAAAGGUUCCGAGUGAUUCGGGUAUUUUUAGAGUACCGGAGAGUUACGGGAAUUCGCCGGGGAGUAUAUGGGCCUUAUUGGGCCAUACGGGAAUAGAGGAGAGAGGCCAAAAGGAAGGAGGCCUGCGCCCCCCCUCUGGUCCAAAUUGGACAAGGGGGGCAGCCCCCUUUUCCUUCUCCCUCUCCUCCUCUUUCCUUCUCCAACAAGGAAAGGAGGAGUCCUACUCCCGGUGGGAGUAGGACUCCCCCCUUGGCGCGCCUCCUCCCUAGGCCGGCCGCCUCCCCCCUUGCUCCUUUAUAUACGGGGGCAGGGGGGCACCCCAAAGACACAACAACUAUUGAUCCUUGAGAUCUAUUAGCCGUGUGCGGUGCCCCCCUCCACCGUAGUCCUCCUUGAUAAUAUUGUAGCGGUGCUUAGGCGAAGCCCUGCGAUGGUAGAACAUCAAGAUCGUCACCACGCCGUCGUGCUGACGGAACUCUCCCUCGACACUCGGCUGGAUCGGAGUUCGAGGGAUGUCAUCGAGCUGAACGUGUGCUAGAACUCAGAGGUGCCGUAGUUUCGGUGCUUGAUUGGUCGGGCCGUGAAGACGUACGACUACAUCAACCACGUUGUUCUAACGCUUCCGCUGUCACAUCCCUAGCUGCUGGUAGUGCUCUAGGCUAGCUUCAUGUGUGCAUCAUGUCUAUAUUUUCGAAACUUGAACUGAGGAAUUUUGGAAGCCUCAAAAACUUAAAUAAAAGAGGGGCAAAAACCCUAGAAAUCUCAUUCAUUGCUCCAAAAUGCUCUUCUUAAAUGUUUGAUAAUUUUUGGUAAGGGUUCUGGUCCCAACCAAAAUAUUGAACAUUUUUAAGGAAUUAUUUUUGGGACUCUGGAUUUAAUUCAUUAACUAUUUGAAUUUGAAUUAUAUUCAUAUAAUUAGAAUAUAAUUUCAAAUACCCCUGAAAUAUUUUAUAAGCUUUUGGAAAAGUCCAUCUAGCAAUAUAAAAUAUUCAGAGCAGUUUUUGGCAUUGUUUGAAUUAUUUUUAAAUUCAAAACAGUGGCAAAAUAAAUUAAAUAAAACAAAACAGAAGAUAAAAAUAAAUAAAAAGAGCAGAAGCCUACCUAACUCACCUGCAGCCCACCUGGCGCCCACCAACCGGCCCAGCCGGCCCAGCCCAUCUCCACUCCCUCCCCUGUCGUCUUCCUCCCUGCCAGGAGGACGGGCACGCGCCCGGCGCGCGCGGCCACGCGCCCCGGCCACCUCCUGCUUCCCGGCCACCUCCUGCUUCCCUCGGCCUCCCUAGCGGCGCCACGACGAGGCCUCGUGUCCCCUCGCUCCUCUUCCUCCCCCGCUGCAUCCCCUCUCUCCUCUGCUCCCUCUCUCUCGCCUGGACCGAACGGAGCCGCCGCCAUCGACGAGAGCCACCGUGGCUACCGGCCACCCCACGCCUCACCGACGCCCCAGGAAGCUCCGCCCCGACCCCCUCUUCCUCCCCACCGAUCCACGGCCCUCCGGAAGCCCUGCAGCGUCGCCCUCAAGCUCGCCCCCAACCUUCGGCCGCCGGCGAACUUUCGAGGAUUCGCGAGCUCCAGCCCCUCCCCGGCCUCGCCGUUGCCUCCACCAGAUCCGCUGUGAGCUACUCUUCCAUUCCCCCUCCUCCUCGCGCUCGUUCCCGUACUCUAGCCGCCUUUUCACCGGAGCCGAUUGCUCCUCGCCGCCGGCCAUGGCGUGGCCGUGGCCACAGCCACCGCAGCUCGCUCCCGAGCCCACCCGCGUGGUCACCGCAACCUCAGGAACCCAAAGCACUUAACCAUUCGUCCUUCCGUGCACCGCAGCGCCGGUCCCGUGAACCCCCGAGCUCCGGCCGCUGCCUCGGGCUCCACUCCGGCGAACCCCAGCCACCCCCGCACCUCCCGUUGGUCCCCCCUAGAUGCGCACGGGCGCGGGCUACCUCCUGGUGCCCUUGGCGCGUCGAUCCGAUGCCCCUAGCGCAAGUCCGGCGUUCCCCGCCGUGCUCUGUGGUCGUCGCCGGCUAAACUCCGGCGAGAGCUGAUAUGGCCGGUCAUUAGGGCCUAACCACCCCGCUAACCUAGGCCUUGGCCACUGACUGUGGGCCCCACGCCCUUAACUAACCACGGUUAACCCCCUGUUUAGUUUAAGUUAACCACAGUGGCCCCACGCGUCGGAGUUGACCUAGCUGACGUGGCCGUUGACCGGUCCCACCUGUCAGUGAGUUAAACAACCCUGUGUCACUGACGUGUGGCCCCCACACGUCAGGUUUGACCAGCAGCAGCGUCUGUUGACCUGCUGACGUCACGGUGACGCACUGCUGACGCAGUAAAUGUUUUCUGGAAUUUAAAUAAUUCUUAAAUGAUUUAUUAUUUUUAGAAAAUGUCCUAAACUUCUAAAAAUCAUAGAAAUUCAACCGUAACUCCAAAUUAAAUAAAUUAUAUAUGAAAAAUUAUCAGAAAAAUUCAAGGAAUCCAUCUGUACCAUUUUCAUGCAUGUUAGAACAACUUAUAGCUGCUGUUUAGCACAAAUCAAUUAAAUGGCAUUUAAAUAAUCACAUAUGGAGUUUGAAUUUGAAUCUUGUAUUCAAACCAACUUCAUUUAAUCUGUUGCUAGUUGCAUUGGCUCAAAACACAUUCAUUUUGCCAUGUCAUGAUCAUGCAUCAUAUUGUGCAUUACAUUGAUUGUGUUCCCUUCUGUGUUGCCGGUAUUUGUCCCCUCUCGAUAGACGUUAUACCGACGAUGUGAUCGUUGACACUGAUGAAGACUCAAUGUUAUCUUCAGAAGUGCCAGGCAAGCAAAACCCCCUUGUUCAUUCCGAUACAAUCCCACUCUCUCGCUUCUGCUCUCUUUUACUGCAUUAGGACAACAACGAUUCAUCUGUUACCUGCUGCGGUAGCUGAACCCCUUUAUCCUUUGCAUGACCUGUCAUUGCCACAGUAAAUAGAUGAAACCCACUAGCAUGAGUAGGAGUUGUUUGAGCCCUGUUGUGCCUACUCAUUCAUGCUUAUUUGUCAUGCCUGCUACUGCUUAGAGUUGAGUCAGGUCUGAUUCAUCGGGGAUGAAUCAGAGGUGUGUGAACAUGUCCUACUGUGUGUGAGCUAAGUGUGUGAACACGAUUUGGUAAAAGGUAUCGGUGAGAGGCCAUGUAGGAGUACAUGGUGGGUUGUCUCAUUGAAGCUGUCCUUAGGAACUGAGUUCUGUGUUUGUGAUCCAUGAUUCAGCUACUACCAUGCAUUGGGCCCUGAAAUAUGACCCCGCUCGAUUUCUUAUUCACCCUAGUCCUCUGUCCAGGAGUUGCAAGUAGUUUCUGGUGUUUGUAGCUUACUGGAGGCCGUGGACAGCGCUGACCGUAGGGGUGGGCUGUGAUGCGGUAGGUACGUGGCACGGUGUACCGGAUGCCCGUUUGGUAUCUCGGGAACCCUGUUCACAUCGUUUGGGGCUGUGAGCGAAACUCCGGCCGGAUCUCCUCAUGGAUGGAACCCGAAUAGGCGAUAAACCUGGACUAGAGACUUAGGUGUUUAGGUAGGUCGUGGUCUACACCCACGUCGGCUUUCACUUGAAGUCUGCCGAGCACAUGUCGUGUGCAGACGCUAAGUGGUGGAAACAUGUAUGAAGAAGUACACCCCUGCAGGGUUAACAUCAUCUAUUCGAAUAGCCGUGUCCGCGGUAAAGGACUUCUGGGUUGCUUAUAUCAGUUCAUAGACAAGUGAAAGUGGAUACUCUAAAAUACGCAAGAUAAGCAUGAGUGCUAUGGAUGGCGUUCUCGUAGGGAGACGGGAGCGGAUCCAUAGUGGUGUAUUGAUAUGGUGAAUAUGUGGACUCGUGUGCGCCACCUCAAAAGAGUUGCUUGCAGUCGUAGUUCAGGCUAGCCACCGUGUCAAAGCUGGCUUGCUGCAGUUAAACCCCACCAUCCCCUUGUUGAUAAUGAUGCAUAUGUAGUUAGAUCUGAUGUAAGUCUUGCUGUGUACAUUUGUACUCACGUUUGCUUAAUUUAUGUUUUGCAGAGAGACCUCAGUCUCGCUAGUAGUUCCGCGUGGACUUCGACGUUUAGCUUGUUACCUCAGCUACGAUCUUGUGUCCUCGGCAGGAUCUGGUAGAUAGUCAGGCUUCUCAGCCUUUUUCAUUUAUAGAUGUCUGUACUCAGACAUGAUAGCUUCCGCUUGUGCUUUGAUUUGUAUGCUCUGAAUGUUGGGUCGUGAGACCCCUGUUUGUAAUAUCUCGCUCCUCGGAGCCUAUUGAUAAAUUACUUGAGUCAUAGAGUCAUGUUGUGAUGCCAUGUUGUAUUUGCACAUAUCGAGCAUAUUGUGUGUAUGUUAUUGAAAUGCUUGGUAUGUGUGGGAUCUGACCAUCUAGUUGUUUAUCUUUAGUAGCCUCUCUUACCGGGAAAUGUCUCCUAGUGUUUCCACCGAGCCAUGGUAGCUCGCUACUGCUCCGGAACACUUAGGCUGGCCGGCAUGUGUCCUUCUUCGUUCCUGUGUCUGUCCCUUCGGGGAAAUGUCACGCGAUGAAUACCGGAGUCCUGUUAGCCUGCUACAGCCCGGUUCACCGGAGUCCUGCUAGCCCAGUGCUACAGCCUGGAUUCACUCGCUGAUGACCGACACGUUCGAUGCUGGGUCAUGGAUGCCUGUCCCUGUAAGUCUGUGCCACUUUGGGUUUACGACUAGCCAUGUCAGCCCGGGCUCCUUAUCAUAUGGAUGCUAGCGACACUGUCAUAUACGUGUGCCAAAAGGCGCAAACGGUCCCGGGCUAAGGUAAGGCGACACCCGUGGGAAUACCGUGCGUGAGGCCGCAAAGUGAUAUGAGGUGUUACAUGCUAGAUCGAUGUGGCAUUGAGUCGGGGUCCUGACAUCCGCUUUCGGUUUACAAGGGUAUGUAGAUUACACUCUCCCCUCUCGUUGCUAUGCAUCACCAUGAUCUUGCGUGUGCAUAGGAAAUUUUUGAAAUUACUACGUUCCCUAACAGUGGCAUCCGAGCCUGGUUUUAUGCAUAGAUGUCAUAUGCAUGAGUAGAACACAAGUGAGUUGUGGGCGAUACAAGUCAUACUACUUACCAGCAUGUCAUACUUUGGCUCAGCGGUAUUAUGAGAUGAAGCGGCCCGGACCAACAUUACGCGUACGCUUACGCGAGACUGGUUUCACCAUUACGAGCACUCGUGCUUAAAGGUGACUGGCGGGUGUCUGUCUCUCUCACUUUAGCUGAAUCGAGUGUGGCUACGCCCGGUCCUUGCGAAGGUUAAAACAGCAUUAACUUGACGAACUAUCGUUGUGGUUUUUGAUGCAUAGGUAAGAAUGGUUCUUGCUAAAGCCCGUAGCAGCCACGUAAAAUUUGCAACAACAAAGUAGAGGACGUCUAACUUGUUUUUGCAGGGCAUGUUGUGAUGUGAUAUGGUCAAGACGUGAUGCUAUAUAUUUGUAUGAGAUGAUCAUGUUUUGUAACCGAAGUUAUCGGCAACUGGCAGGAGCCAUAUGGUUGUCGCUUUAUUGUAUGAAAUGCAAACGCCCUGUAAAUUGCUUUACUUUAUCACUAAACGGUAGUGAUAGUCGUAGAAGCAAUAGAUGGCGUAACGACAACGAUGCUACGAUGGAGAUCAAUGUGUCGCGCCGGUGACAAUGGUGAUCACGACGGUUCUUCGAAGAUGGAGAUCACAAGCACAAGAUGAUGAUGGCCAUAUGAUAUCACUUAUAUUGAUUGCAUGUGAUGUUUAUCCUUUAUGCAUCUUAUCUUGCUUUGAUUGACAGUAGCAUUUUAAGAUGAUCUCUCACUAAAUUAUCAAGAAGUGUUCUCCCUAAGUAUGCACCAUUGCGAAAGUUCUUCGUGCCGAGACACCACGUGAUGAUCGGGUGUGAUAGGCUCUAUGUUCAAAUACAACGGGUGCAAAACAGUUGCACACGCGGAAUACUCAGGUUAAACUUGACGAGCCUAGCAUAUAACAGAUAUGGCCUCAGAACACGGAGACCGAAAGGUCGAGCGUGAAUCAUAUAGUAGAUAUGAUCAACAUAUUGAUGUUCACCGUUGAAACUACUCCAUCUCACGUGACGAUCGGACAUGGUGUAGUUGAUAUGGAUCACGUAAUCACUUAGAAGAUUAGAGGGAUGUCUAUCUAAGUGGGAGUUCUUAAGUAAUAUGAUUAAUUGAACUUAAAUUUAUCAUGAACUUAGUCUUGGUAGUAUUUUGCAAAUUAUGUUGUAGAUCAAUAGCUUGCGUUGUUGCUUUCAUAUGUUUAUUUUGAUAUGUUCCUAGAGAAAAUUGUGUUGAAAGAUGUUAGUAGCAAUGAUGCGGAUUGGAUCCGUGAUCUGAGGUUUAUCCUCAUUGUUGCACAGAAGAAUUAUGUCCUUAAUGCAACGCUAGGUGACAGACCUAUUGCAGGAGCAGAUGCAGACGUUAUGAACAUUUGGCUAGCUCAAUAUGAUGACUACUUGAUAGUUUAGUGCACCAUGCUUAACGGCUUAGAAUCGGGACUUCAAAGACGUUUUGAACGUCAUGGACCAUAUGAGAUGUUCCAGGAGUUGAAGUUAAUAUUUCAAGCAAAUACCCGAGUUGAGAGAUAUGAAGUCUCCAACAAGUUCUAUGGCUAAAAGAUGGAGGAGAAUCGCUCAACUAGUGAGCAUGUGCUCAGAUUGUCUGGGUACUACAAUCGCUUGAAUCAAGUGGGAGUUAAUCUUCCAGAUAAGAUAGUGAUUGACAGAGUUCUCUAGUCACCAUCACCAAGUUAGUAGAACUUUGUGAUGAACUACAGUAUGCAAGGGAUGACGAAAAUGAUUCCCGAGCUCUUCAUGAUGUUGAAAUCGACGAAGGUAGAAAUCAAGAAAGAGCAUCAAGUGUUGAUGGUUGACAAGAUCACUAGUUUCAAGAAAAGGGCAAAGGGAAAGAAAGGGAAACUUCAAGUAGAAUGACAAGCAAGUUGUCACUCCCGCGAAGAAGCCUAAAGCUGGACCAAAGCCUGAAACUGAAUGAUUAUACUGCAAAGGAAUAGUCACUGGAAGUGGAAAUGCUCUGAAUAUUUGGUGGAUAAGAAGGAUGGCAAAGUAAACAAGGGUAUAUUUGAUACACAGGUUAUUGAUGUGUACCUUACUAGUGUUUAUAGUAGCCCUUGAGUAUUUGAUACUUGUUCGGUUGCUAAAUAUUAGUAACUCGAAACAGGAGUUACAGAAUAAACAUAGACUAGUUGAGGGUGAAGUGACGAUGUGUGUUGGAAGUGGUUCCAAGAUUGAUAUGAUCAUCAUCGCACACUCCCUAUACUUUCGGGAUUAGUGUUAAACCUAAAUAAAUGUUAUUUGGCGUUUGCAUUGAGCAUAAAUAUGAUUUGAUCAUGUUUAUUGCAAUACCGUUAUUCAUUUAAAGUCAGAGAAUAAUUGUUGUUCUGUUUACAUGAAUAAAACCUUCGAUGGUCAUACACCCAAUGAAAAUAGUUUAUUGGAUCUCGAUCAUAGUGAUACACAUAUUCAUAAUAUUGAUGCCAAAAGAUGCAAAGUUAAUUAUGAUAGUGCAACUUAUUUGUGGCACUGCCGUUUGGGUCAUAUCGGUGUAAAGCGCAUGAAGAAACUCCAUGCUGAUGGAUUUUUGAAAUCACUUGAUUAUGAAUCAUUUGAUGUUUGCGAACCGUGCCUUAUGGGCAAGAUGACUGAAACUCCGUUCUACGGAACAAUGGAACGAGCUAGUGACUUAUUGGAAAUAAUACAUACUGAUGUAUGCGGUCCAAUGAGUAUUGAUGCUCGUGGUGGGUAUCGUUAUUUUCUGACCUUCACGAGAUGAUUUGAGAAGAUAUGAGUAUAUCUUCUUAAUGAAACACAAGUCCGAAACAUUUGAAAAGUUCAAAGAAUUUCAGAGUGAAGUGGAGAAUCAUCGUAACAAGAAAAUAAAGUUUCUACGAUCUGAUCGUGGAGGAGAAUAUUUGAGUUACGAGUUUGGUAUUCAAUUAAAACAAUGUGGAAUAGUUUCACAAACUCAUGCCACCUGGAACACCACAGCUUAAUGGUGUGUCCGAACGUCAUAACCGUACUUUAUUGGAUAUAGUGCAAUCUAUGAUAUCUCUUAUCGGUUUACCACUAUCGUUUUGGGAUUAUGCAUUAGAGACAGUUGCAUUCACUUUAAAUAGGGCACCAUCGAAAUCCGUUGAGACAACGCCUUAUGAACUGUGGUUUGGCAAGAAACAAAAGUUGUCGUUUCUUAAAGUUUGGGGCUGCGAUGCUUAUGUGAAAAAAGUUUCAACCUGAUAAGCUCGAACCCAAAUCGGAGAAGUGCGUCUUCAUAGAAUACCCAAAAGAGACUGUUGGGUACACCUUCUAUCACAGAUCUGAAGGCAAGAUUUUCGUUGCAAAAUUCGGAUCCUUUCUAGAGAAGAAGUUUCUCUCUAAAGAAGUGAGUGGGAGGAAAGUAGAACUUGAUGAGGUAAUUGUACCUUCUCCCUUAUUGGAAAGUAGUUCAUCACAGAAAUCAGUUCCAGUGAUUCCUACACCAAUUAGUGAGGAAGUUAAUGAUAUUGAUCAUGAAACUUCAGAUCAAGUUUCUACUGAACCUCGUAGGUCUACCAGAGUAAGAUCCACACCAGAGUGGUACGGUAAUCAUGUUCUGGAAGUCAUGUUACUAGACCAUGAUGAACCUACGAACUAUGAGGAAGCGAUGAUGAGCCCAGAUUCCGCAAAAUGGCUUGAAGCCAUGAAAUCUGAGAUAGGAUCCAUGUAUGAGAACAAAGUAUGGACUUUGGUUGACUUGCUCGAUGAUCGGCAAGCCAUUGACAAUAAAUGGAUCUUCAAGAAGAAGACUGACGCUGAUGGUAAUGCAACUGUCUACAAAGCUCGACUUGUUGCAAAAGGUUUUCGACAAGUUCAAGGGGUUGACUACGAUGAGACUUUCUCACCCGUAGCGAUGCUUAAGUCUGUCCGAAUCAUGUUAGCAAUUGCCUCAUUUUAUGAUUAUGAAAUUUGGCAAAUGGAUAUCAAAACUGUGUUCCUGAAUGGAUUUCUGGAAGAAGAGUUGUAUAUGAUGCAACCAGAAGGUUUUGUCAAUCCUAAAGAUGCUAACAAAAUGUGCAAGCUCCAGCGAUCCAUCUAUGGAUUGGUGCAAGCAUCUCAGAGUUGGAAUGUACACUUUGAUAAGUUGAUCAAAGCAUAUAGUUUUAUACAGACUUGCGGUGAAGCCUGUAUUUACAAUAAAGUGAGUGGGAGCACUACCAUCUUUCUGAUAAAUAUAUGUGAGUAACAUAUUGUUGAUCAGAAAUGAUGUAGAAUUUUUUCUGGAAAGCAUAAAGGAGUAUUUGAAAGGGGUUCUUUAAAAUGAAAUACCUCGGUGAAGAUGCUUACAUAUUGAGCAUCAAGAUCUAUUGAGAUAGAUCAAGACGCUUGAUAAGUUUUUCAAUAAGUACAUACCUUGUCAAGAUUUUGAAAUAGUUCAAAAUGGAACAGUCAAAGAAAGAGUUCUUGCAUGUGUUGCAAAGGUGUGAAAUUGAGUAAGACUCAAGACCCGACCACGGCAGAAAAUAGAAAGAGAAUGAAAGUCAUUCCCUAUGCAUCAGUCAUAAGUUCUAUAAAAGUAUGCCAUGCUAUGGACCAGGCCUAUUGUAUACUCUUCCCUGGUUUGGCAAGGGAGUACAAUAGUGAUCUAGGAGUAGAUCACUGGACAUUGGUCAAAAUUAUCCUUAGUAGAAUCAGGAUAUGUUUCUCGAUUAUGGAGGUGAUAAAAGAGUUCGUCGUAAAGAGUUACAUCGAUGCAAGCUUUUACACCGAUCCAGAUUACUCUAAGUCUCAAUCCGGAUACAUAUUGAAAGUGGGAGCAAUUAGCUAGAGUAGCUCCGUGCAAAGCAUUGUAGACAUAGAAUAUUUGCAAAAUACAUACGACUCUGUAAUAUGACAGACCCGUUGACUAAACUUCUCUCACGAGCAAAACAUGAUCAUACCUUAGUACUCUUUGGGUGUUAAUCACAUAGCGAUGUGAACUAGAUUAUUGACUCUAGUAAACCCUCUGGGUGUUGAUCACAUGACGAUGUGAACUAUGGGUAUUGAUCACAUACAGAUGUGAAUAUUGGUGUUAAAUCACAUGGCGAUGUGAACUAGAUUAUUGACUCUAGUGCAAGUGGGAGACUGAAGGAAAUAUGCCCUAGAGGCAAUAAUAAAGUUAUUAUUUAUUUCCUUAUAUAUCAUGAUAAAUGUUUAUCAUUCAUGCUAGAAUUGUAUUAACCGGAAACAUAAUACAUGUGUGAAUACAUAGACCAACAUAACGUCACUAGUAUGCCUCUACUUGACUAGCUCAUUAAUCAAAGAUGGUUAUGUUUCCUAACCAUAGACAUGUGUUGUCAUUUGAUUAACGGGAUCACAUCAUUAAGAGAAUGAUGUGAUUGACAUGACCCAUUCCGUUAGCCUAGCACUUGAUCAUUUAGUAUAUUGCUAUUGCUUUCUUCAUGACUUAUACAUGUUCCUGUAACUAUGAGAUUAUGCAACUUCCGUUUACUGGAGGAACACUUUGGGUGCUACCAAACGUCACAACGUAACUGGGUGAUUAUAAAGGAGUACUACAGGUGUCUCCAAAGGUAAAUGUUGGGUUGGCGUAUUUCGAGAUUAGGUUUUGUCACUCCGAUUGUCGGAGAGGUAUCUCUGGGCCCUCUCGGUAAUGCACAUCACUUAAGCCUUGCAAGCAUUGCAACUAAUGAGUUAGUUGUGAGAUGAUGUAUUACGGAACGAGUAAAGAGACUUGCCGGUAACGAGAUUGAACUAGGUAUUAGAUACUGAC